rnacentral:rRNA from 1 species
UACGGAGGAUCCGAGCGUUAUCCGGAUUUAUUGGGUUUAAAGGGUGCGUAGGUGGCCUGUUAAGUCAGGGGUGAAAGACGGCAGCUCAACUAUCGCAGUGCCCUUGAUACUGAUGGGCUUGAAUGAACUAGAGGUAGGCGGAAUGUGACAAGUAGCGGUGAAAUGCAUAGAUAUGUCACAGAACACCAAUUGCGAAGGCAGCUUACUAUGGUUUUAUUGACACUGAGGCACGAAAGCGUGGGGAUCAAACAGG